ACCUGUGGACCAUCAUCUUUCGACAGUUUGUUCUACUUCUGGUCACCUUGUACAGAGAUGAAGUAGAUGGAAAUAGCUACAUGGACACAAUAACAGUGGAAGGCGUGACGUGCAACUUUGCUGAAUAUAAAACCAAUGACGGUGGAGGACCUCGCGGACUGCGUCUCUAUUCGUGUAAGAAUGUUAGCGGCAAGUUGAACAUUGACUGCAUUUACUUUGGUGGGAACCCUCACGGCUGCAAGAAAUAUAAACCACAUGUGCAGAAGAGCAUCGCGAAAUAUUACAGAACACUGGCAAGAAGUGCCAUGAACAAUGGCAAUCCGUGCAGACCAAGCAGCAUUACUGAAAAUAUCUGUAACAAAGACUACCCUUGUUACAAAGGAAGCUGUAUGAAUCAAUCAUGUCCGAGAUGAGUUAUAGAAUCUAAUACAAUUUUAACGUUUAUCUUGCAUCGAAGCAGAAUGUCAGAGUGAAGCACCUAAACGCAAGCGCACGAUGUCAGCGAUCUAAACUGUUCGGCCUCUGCGGCCGCCACAAAACCUGACAACCGGUAGUCUAGAUCACGUACUUUAUGUAACUGGCGCUCAAUGAAGGCCCAAUUUCUUUGGAAAUGUCACCAUAAGAGCGUGUUUCCCAAAGCGACUGGAAGCAAGCACUAAAAAUGUCUUUUGCAAUUAUUUUCUUAACACUGCAUUACCUCUGUUGAUGUCCUGUACAGUUCGUCCUGCUGAGAAACAGAGGCGGAUGCGUGAAGGAUUGAUACGUAGGGUUGUAAAUCCCAAGAUAAUCCUUGGUUGUGAUUCUUGGUUCGUUAGCACUGUACCCAUCCUCCCUGUAACUAAGUACUGCCACUUUAAUUUGUGAAUAUUUGGAUCGGCCGAUAAUCAGACGCCAAAUUCUAUAUCUUGGCAGGUAUGUUUUUGAUGGGCAAGUCGGACCUGUAUGAUCGGUCUGUUACAUCAUCUGGUAUUGUGUGAAAUUGAGUCUGAACUACCCUGUAUUCUGGACGAUGAAUUACACCGAUUAGCAGUACUUAGUUUAGGUGUCCUCUCACUUAGCCAGAUUCUGUCAAAAGAGUGCCAGAGUGGCAUUUGGCUGACUAGAGUUAGUGUUUUGAUGACACUUAGUCAAGAUUAGUCAUAGUCUGUAUCAACAAAUGCUCAAUUAGUUAGAUUAGUGAAAUUUGUAUUAAAGUGAGAUACAUUGAUUGGUAUUAUUUGAAUAUUUUUACAUUUUUCAUAUAUGUGUUAAAGUGAGAGAAAUGAAGUACGUUGAAUUGGUUUUAACUAGAUUUACCACUGAGAAGGUAUUACCAGUAUAUAUAGCAAACUUUAGCCAAAUAAUUUCAUGCAUGCAUGUGUAGAAAUCAGGUUCAUCGACAACAACAUAGGCGGUCAGUAUCUUCUUCACAACAACUACCAGUUCAGUGUGAAAGCAAGAUGGAGGAAUGAGACUGUCUACUGGCGUUGUCGACACCACGGUUUGGGAUGCCGUGACACUCUCAACACAAAGAACAAAACUUG